GACAGAGGGUGCAAACGUUGCUCGGAAUCACUGGGCGUAAAGGGCGUGUAGGCGGGAAGGAAAGUCAGAUGUGAAAUCCCUGGGCUCAACCCAGGAACUGCAUUUGAAACUCCCUUUCUUGAGUGUCGGAGAGGAAAGUGGAAUUCCUGGUGUAGAAGUGAAAUUCGUAGAUAUCAGGAGGAACACCGGUGGCGAAGGCGACUUUCUGGACGACAACUGACGCUGAGACGCGAAAGCGUGGGGAGCAAACAGG
rnacentral:rRNA from 1 species